rnacentral:rRNA from 1 species
UACGUAGGGUGCGAGCGUUAAUCGGCAUUACUGGGCGUAAAGCGUGCGCAGGCGGUUUUGCAAGCCGGGUGUGAAAUCCCCGGGCUCAACCUGGGAAUGGCAUUCGGGACUGCAAGGCUGGAGUGCGGCAGAGGAGACUGGAAUUCCUGGUGUAGCAGUGAAAUGCGUAGAUAUUAGGAGGAAUACCGAUGGCGAAGGCAGGUCUCUGGGCUGACACUGACGCUCAUGCACGAAAGCGUGGGGAGCAAACAGG